rnacentral:rRNA from 1 species
GGGUUUAGUAGCCGGGGCUUAGCGUUGGGCUCGACUGGACUCCCUCCGCGAUGGCUCACUAGGGCCGCGGUGCGCGGGGUCGUUUUGGUGCCGCUGGUUGAGACGCGCCCGCGUCUACCACGGCGGCAGGUGGCGUGUCGCCGAGACGAAGGAGAGAGACGAGGAGGAGGAGGAGGACCGGCGUCGGCGAAGACGGUGGCGUCUACGACGCCGCCGCCUCCUCAAGUGCCUCCUCGACGAGGAGGCCGGCGAGGGCCUGGCGUUCCGCGACCGGGUAAAGGUGAAGGCGAGGAGGCGCGGAGGGCGAAGGCGGCGGCCGGCUGUGGUGGUGGAGAAGGGGUUCCGGUAGAGGGUCGACCAGGUUUUUAAAGUAUAAUCACUUGACCUCGAUAGAAAGUGUGUUCCUUCCACCUUAAUACUCGUUACCCCGCCUAUACUAGGUUACAGUUGUUUAUUACGUUUCGGGGGACCACAACUCGACACCCGUUAAAAGCUGGAAGGAAACCGGCUCUAACUACGGUGUACCUUCUUGGACUGUGUGUGUAAUAGCCCUGACAAAACACGUAGGUAGUUGAAGAAUCUCAGAAGGUGACGUAAAAGACGAGGAGCAACCCCUAAAUUUAACUUACUUCCGUUAGAUUCUAUACCCCGUAACGGAGCCCUUCGACAGACGUGUCUCUUAGAUUGUGGAACCGACUUUGAAGAUGGCACAGCACUGUUUCGACCCUAUCGAAGAAACGACAUGUCCGGAAGUCAAAUAUUUCCUAUAAUGGUAAGUGUCUUCGAUUUUAACUUUAGUAGUGUUAGAGAACCAUAAUAAGAACUAGUUUGUGAGUGUCAACACGACGUUGGUUUAUGUCAAUCACCAUUUGUCGAUGUAAGAUGACCACCUGUUGAAGUCGGGUCGACCAGGUACCUUGUAGACAAGUCAUUCUUCAAUAGUCCCUUUACAGAACAAAGAUUUAGGUCGUCUCAAAAACAUCUCUAACUCUUUCCGUAUCAACUGUUACAAGUGUUUCGACCCAGUCUACAAAGUACCUUAUUACUAAAUAAACAUAACAGUUGACGGGGUCUGUCCAGGGAGUUUCUUAAUCUAUUGAACCUUCAGGUUAGGAGAAGUGAUAUACUCAUACUACAAUUGUUGAUGUUGUUACUAUUCGGAAACUUACACCCGUAUUGAACCUUCGAAGGGAACUAUACCAGAACGUGGGCACGCGGCAUAGUACGUUCAUCUAAAGAAUACCCAUCGCCUUUACUUUCUCCGAGUUAACGAUACAGUAAAGAUAGGUGACCAGAUCUAUUCGUUGAUCACCUGUCGAGUUUACUAACAAGCUAUUUCCGACAUCAAAAGGUCCAACAAGGUACCAUGCAAUUCCAGAUGAUAGUGUCGGAUCUUCAAAAGUAGCUACCCUUAUCGUUCCGAUAUAGUCUUCAUCAACUGUUCUAUGUACAGUGCGGUAGUCUUCUGUUCGAAAACGGACCAUGUUACCUCUACGAAGAAUUCAAAGGAACGUCAUACGUUAACCGAUGGGAAUGAAACCUGAAGCUGUUCCCCAAGGAUGUGUAUCUACUUAUGGGAGGACUACGAUUAGUUCCUAAACUAUAAGGUAGUCGAAACCAAUCGAAAGGACUCAAGUUGAGAUCGGCUUCAAUGGGACUUCGACUAGGUAACAAACAUAGCGGAAACGAUCUCUUGAAGUUCCUUCUACCACAACACUUCAGCAUGUGUCUUCACAACGAACAAGGUAACUGUUGAGGACUAAAAUCGUACGGUAUGUUACAAUAGUGGAAGUGAACGUGACAGAAUCGAGAAAUAAAACCGAGUGAUGAAUUACGAAACUCUGCUUCUUAACCGCUCCUUCUCUCCCCUAACUUCUUUCGUCUAUUCUCUGCUCCAGAGUAAGGGGAUAACUAUCGAUUCGAUUCCCCCGUCUUCCAACUAGGCAGUCUUAGUCUUAGGUGCAGAGGACGUAGAGACGACUCCAGUUUCGAUGAUGAGUUUCAACACAAACAGCGUCAUCAUCGAUAACACAAGGUAAUAAACUUGUCAAUCUCUUGAUUAUGACGACUCUUAAAACUAGUUUAGGUGCCACCAUCUAGCAUAGGAAGAAGAAAACAUCGUACAUACAUAAUGGAUGUACAUGUCCACGAACGUAGCCCCGGUAGAAAAGACACUGUAGGAACCAACAAUUCUUCUAAGACGGGGUCAACCUCGAACUGUGGAACAUGUAAAAACAUCGCACCGCCAAACAUGAGGAAAGAUGUCCUUAUUUUAAGUUCAGAGGCCCAACCGGAUUGGUUUGUACCACUGGUUUGGGAUUUCUUUCACGUACGGAUUGCUCUAACACUCGGAACUUUAAGCUCGAGGAUAUGAGCACUUGUUACAAUGUUCGUCAUUUUCUUGCUCUCGCUAGACACUAAAAUACAUACUAACGUCGUACAGGCCGCUUGCUAGGGACGAACUAUAGUAGGUAGUGGAAAAACGUUAGUCUUCGGUGAACAUAAAAGACUUGUAUGUCUAGGAGGCGUUCACUUUCACUGAGUGCAUGACGAUUUCGAAGUUCACAUUGUCCCAAUACAUAUACAAACUAUCACUAACGGCUACGUGGGUUUUUAUGAGGUAACGACAGAGAUGUCUGGUGUCGUUGCCGAGGGUAUAAUAGUAAAUCAUAACGUCGCAGUCGUAAGUAGAAGUGUACUAGAACACCACCACCAUUGGUGACACUACCAGACGAGUUUCACGAGAACUAACAGACCAAGCCAUAGCGAUCUUAAACUUACAGGGAAUUCUUUCUUAACUACUUCACUAACUAA